rnacentral:rRNA from 1 species
GACGAACGCUGGCGGCGUGCCUAAUACAUGCAAGUCGAGCGAAUCUGAGGGAGCUUGCUCCCAACGAUUAGCGGCGGACGGGUGAGUAACACGUGGGUAACCUGCCUGUAAGAUUGGGAUAACUCCGGGAAACCGGAGCUAAUACCGGAUAACAUUACGAACCGCAUGGUUCGGAAUUGAAAGACGGCUUUUAGCUGUCACUUACAGAUGGACCCGCGGCGCAUUAGCUAGUUGGUGAGGUAACGGCUCACCAAGGCGACGAUGCGUAGCCGACCUGAGAGGGUGAUCGGCCACACUGGGACUGAGACACGGCCCAGACUCCUACGGGAGGCAGCAGUAGGGAAUCUUCCGCAAUGGACGAAAGUCUGACGGAGCAACGCCGCGUGAACGAUGAAGGCCUUCGGGUCGUAAAGUUCUGUUGUUAGGGAAGAACAAGUACCAGA